rnacentral:rRNA from 1 species
GCGGGGGCGUGCUGGAGAGCGGGGAGGAGUAGGAGGGUACACUGCGGUGUCGUGCCCGCCCCUGCGGCAAGCGGCUACGAGCUCGCGGGUCCGGCAAGCGGCGGGUUCACCAGGCGGCGUGGCGGAGGGGGGUAGGAGGGCGCAGCAGCGGCGGGCGGCAAGAGAGGAGCGCACAGAGGACGGCGAACGGGGUGUAGCACCACGUGGUACCCACGGUCGGUCUAGCUCGUGCCCGAGACGGAAGCAGCCGCCGCCGCCCCAAGGAGAGGAGGCGGCUCGUCGUCGCCGCCACACCCUGCGUCGCCCUAGCCGGACGGUCUCCCAGGAGAGGAGGCAGCUCGUCGCCGCAGGCGGGCCCUGUGUCGUUCGAGCCGCACCGCUACCUAAAGAGACCGCCCAGUAAGCUUUGGCGGCUACACGGCUGCUGAGGAGUGGAUACAAGGAGUUAGACAUCGGCGCUCUGUGACUUUCUCGGUACCAAGAGAGACAUGUAUUUCUUUAGAAGAGUUAAAGUACGAAGCUCCUGCGCUCCUACACUUAGUUGUAUCACGUCUACGGUUAUUGUACGUUUCUACGGUUCCUUUCGGGAAGACCUCCAAUCACUCCUUGAAUGAUUUCCGUGGUACCUUAUAUAACAACAGCUCCUUCAUUUACAAUGAAUACCUGCUCAAUUGCCUUACGGUAAGAUUAAAAAUGCUGUACUUAUACAUGAUACAAAGGAUCUACAAGUGAAGUAUCGGAAAAGCAACAUCCCCGUAAAAAUAACGGAUUAAACGAGGUAUUAACUCAACCCUUUUUAUCUAUUGAAGUCUUACAGUAGGUCACUUAAUACCUCUCAAUAAAUCUAAGUCUUAACCAAAAGACCUAGACGAGCAUACC